GGAAAGAGGUGAGGAAGGAAAUGGCCCAGGGAAAAUGGUCACAUGGGUAGAGGAUUUGAUUGAGCUGUGCAGUACAGAGCCCUGGGCUGGAACCUGGAAGUGAGGUUGGGACUGGAUUCCCCCCCCAGCCCCAAGGAAGCGGUGUACAAAGGUAGCUGAGCCCAGAGAGGGGGCUGCAGUCUGAAUGUGACCUCGCUGAAGAAGGAGCUGUGGAGAGGCUGGAAGCUUUUUAUUUCUGUUAAAAUAGUUUUGAAUUUGAGUGUGGCUCGCUGACCCUGGAAGGAACAGGCUAAAGCCUGUGCCCUGGCUGGAGGGGUGAGUUAUCUGCAAGAAACCACCCCAGCCCCAGAGUGAGUGUUGACAAGGACACUGUGAUGCUCUGCCUGGCCAUGAGGAAGCGCAUAGUGGGUUGAUGCAGACUGGCUGAAUGAGGGAGCCCACCUGAGGAGGAACAAGCUGGACUGGGACUAUAAAGACACGAGAUUGGAAGCAAAAGGACUG